UGCUUACACAUGCAAGUCGAACGCUGAAGCCCAGCUUGCUGGGUGGAUGAGUGGCGAACGGGUGAGUAACACGUGGGUAAUCUGCCCUGUACUCUGGGAUAAGCCUGGGAAACUGGGUCUAAUACCGGAUAGGACACACUGCCGCAUGGUGGUGUGUGGAAAGCUCCGGCGGUACAGGUUGAGCCCGCGGCCUAUCAGCUUGUUGGUGGGGUGAUGGCCUACCAAGGCGACGACGGGUAGCCGGCCUGAGAGGGUGACCGGCCACACUGGGACUGAGACACGGCCCAGACUCCUACGGGAGGCAGCAGUGGGGAAUAUUGCACAAUGGGCGCAAGCCUGAUGCAGCGACGCCGCGUGGGGGAUGACGGCCUUCGGGUUGUAAACCCCUUUCGCCAGGGACGAAGCGUAAGUGACGGUACCUGGAGAAGAAGCACCGGCCAACUACGUGCCAGCAGCCGCGGUAAUACGUAGGGUGCAAGCGUUGUCCGGAAUUAUUGGGCGUAAAGAGCUCGUAGGCGGUGUGUCACGUCUGCCGUGAAAACCUGCGGCUUAACCGUGGGCGUGCGGUGGAUACGGGCAUCACUUGAGUUCGGUAGGGGAGACUGGAAUUCCUGGUGUAGCGGUGGAAUGCGCAGAUAUCAGGAGGAACACCGGUGGCGAAGGCGGGUCUCUGGGCCGAUACUGACGCUGAGGAGCGAAAGCGUGGGGAGCGAACAGGAUUAGAUACCCUGGUAGUCCACGCCGUAAACGUUGGGCGCUAGGUGUGGGGCGCUGU
rnacentral:rRNA from 1 species